rnacentral:rRNA from 1 species
GACGAACGCUGGCGGCGUGCUUAACACAUGCAAGUCGAACGGAGUGGCGAACGGGUGAGUAUUACGUGAGUAACCUGCUCUCAACUGUGGGAUAAGCCUGGGAAACUGGGUCUAAUACUGCAUAGUUGGUGAUGGGCUCGCGGCGUAUCAGCUUGUUGGUGGGGUGAUGGCCAACCAAGGCGAUGCCGGGGAGCCGGCCGGGGAGGGUGAGCGGCCACACUGGAACUGAGACACGGUCCAGACUCCUACGGGAGGCAGCAGUGGGGAAUAUUGCACAAUGGGCGCAAGCCUGAUACAGCCAUGCCGCGUGUAUGAAGAAGGCCUUCGGGUUGUAAAGUACUUUCAGCGAGGAGGCGGUACUCGCAGAAGAAGCACCGGCUAACUCCGUGCCAGCAGCCGCGGUAAUUC